CCCAUCUCCAUGCCCACAUUUAGUAAGCCUGAGCUUCUGGCCCAAUGGACGGAUUUUGAACCAUCCCCAACACAUCCUCGCUCCUGCUCUUCCCAGCAAGCCCCGAGUGCAUGGUCUCUGUGUUGUCCCUUCCAGUUUACAGACCUAAGGAACAGCCUUGGAGAGGGGAGCCCAGCAGGAGCAGAGCAGCAAGCCAAAGGCUAAAUCGUCCCCAAGGUUUCUGGUGGCUUACUGCGUGCAGAAACCCAACACACAGGACAGGCUUGCCAUGAGGAUGAGGUGUCAGUAGCUUUGAACUCCUCGUCGUGAGGCUCGGGCCCCUGUUUGCAGCUCAGCACUGUGCCACAUCUCCUUUGGCUGGGGCUCAUUUGCGGUGCUGUCAGAGCACCAACAGGUCCCAUACGGCAGCGCACAGAGUCAAGGCGUUCUCCUGGUGUAUCCAUCACUAUCUCCGUCUCAUUGCCAAGCACUUCAAGCUUUCAUCAGAUCAAUUUUCUCCCUUUGAAAGAAAAGAGUCUUGUUAACUUGUGUGUGGGGCAGUGGAAAGCGCUCACCUGCCUCUCCCCAUGGUGCUGUGCAGUGUAAGCUGUGAAGAAGCAAGUUCCUCUCCCAGGAUGAGUAAAGUUUGCAUGACCUCGUGCCAGAAGAUCAAUGUUUUUGGGGAAAUGGCCAUUAGCCCUUCCGUGAACUUGGCAAUGUGUUUCCUAAGAUUCUUAUCACAUGUAGAAAGACGCCAAUUACUUCUAGCUGUGGGCGAGCCAGCUGUUCCUGGGACAACCUUCAGCCCUCCCAAGGACAGCGGAGCAUCGUCACUCGAAUCCUUGUGCUUCCCGUUGGCGGCAGAGCAUGGCCACCCGCGCUGCAGAAAUGACAGGUUGGAGGACAAGAGUAGGGCUGGGGCCGUCCCCAGGGCUGCUGUACGUGGCCAGAACAUCGGGUUCGGAGACUCUCAGUCAGCGUGCUGCGAAGGUCAUAAAAUAGCUAGCAGCAGAAGUAAUCAGAGCCUGGGGCUGGCCCGGAUCGCCCUUUCCUUUCGGAAUUAAGGAGGGUGCUUGGCGCUGCUUGCGAAGCAAUCACAUUGAACAACCCCAAAUUGGCUUCCACGGGGAACCGUGGCCUCCUUGCUCUGCGAUAUGCCCUCCUCCGGUCCAGCAGCUUUCUCUUCCAGACCACAGCUUUAUUUAAUUUAGGUCCUACCAUUGGCAAUGGUUUUGCAAUGGGCUGUGGGUUAGGAAAAAGUAGAGAAUUUUUCCUUAAGCAAAAAGGAGAUGACAUUGCACAGAAAAAACAGAGCAAAGAAUAGUUUGUUGGCCGUUUUCUGCCUUGCUUCUGUGUGUGAUGCCAGCAAAAGGAUUGCAUUUUGGAGUGAUUUAAUGAAAAAAUGACUUUUGUUUCUAAUUCCUUUGCCUGCUUCAAAGCAGAAGGGCCACACGAUGGAGCUCUGGGGCUUCUGUCGGGGCCUGCCUGGAUUCACGCGUAAAAAGCAGUUUGGAGACCUUGAAAUUACGGUUUUUAUUAAUUUUUCACUCAGUUUAAUUUUUACAUUCAUUUUUAAAUGGUAAAUGUUCUAGACAUUAUAAUUGUAAAAUGUAAUUUAUGGUUGCUAGCUGAAGGUAUUUACUUUUGCUUUCUUAAGAUUGGAACUUUUAUUUUUAUUUUUACGACUGUAACGGGGUAACAUUUUUCAAUCUCCUGAGAGGCUGGCAUCCCAGAGACAGCGUUAGACCAUAUAAUUCUUCCAAAUGACACCCUGACUAUGUUGGGGAAGCUCUCAGGCCUCUAUAUGCAAAUAUUAAGCACCGGCCUUGCUGCACGUGUGAGAGAAUAAAUGAUGUUUUGGAGUGCUCCUUGUUCCUGGU
rnacentral:lncRNA from 1 species